rnacentral:SRP_RNA from 1 species
CCUCGGGCCCUGUGCAAUGUAACCCUCGAACCAUGUCAGGUCCGGAAGGAAGCAGCAUUAAGAGGUUCCUUACAUGUGCAACAGGUCUCCCGGGGCUC